ensembl:lncRNA
CUCGGUUCUCCCUUACGAUCUGACCGAGAGCAUUUCGCUUUUAAGGCGAAACUGCUUCAGAAAACUCGGUGGAGACACGAGUUUCGCCGUUGCAAACAGAAAAGAAUAAACUGAUGCCGCCAGUCUCCGCUUAUAAACACGAUUCCAGCUCUAAGAAACAACACCUCAGUGAAAGCAGUCAAUGAAGGCUAUCUGACAUGAGGCCGUUUUGAGUCAGCUUGUAGGAUGUAGUAGCCACCGAGACGUCCCGCAGCACGUAACGGAAGAUGGGCUGAAAGCAAUCUAUAUGCGCUCCUUUGUCUCCCAUUCAGCAGACACAGAGGUUCAUACCGCAGGUCACGUGAAGCAGUUAUAUCACUGCAAUAACAUCCUUCCUGCACUAUAGAGACCACAUUCCUGGGAUCACUGAUCAUUAGCGGUAUUUGUUGUGUACUGGAACGAUCACUCCUUGAAUAAUGUGUGGCUUAAUAGUGCCGUGCAUUAACAGGAACAUCCUACACAUAAAUCAGCAGUGUUCCCUGGUGGACUCGGAAAGGUUUUCUCCCGCAUUAUUUUUUGUCGUGAUGACUGCGUGUGGUAUUCUCCUAGCUCAACUGUUCGAAAGGUUUUUAUUUGCUCAUGUGAAAAGAGCACUGGGUCUGGGAGAGGGCUGAUUCCUACAAGGGGUGUGAGAACUUGCAGUGAUUCCUAAAGCUGCCAGAGGCUGAAUUUGCUUCAUCUAUCUUACAAGUUUGUCCUGGAGCCACAUUCCCUAACCACAAAUGGCUCGUGCAGAGCCCUAGGAUGCAUACUUUGCAAAGGGAACGCCAUCCUGAUGGAAGUGGUGACAAACUAUGACAGUUUAUCCACUCUAAAAGCCAUAAAGAUUUAUGGAAUCUACAGAGCCAAAGAAUGAGGAAUAUCAUUCCAUUAGCAAUGCAACUGUUUGGAUGGCUUGUCUUAAUACACACUUUUAAUGCAGAAGAAAAAAAAAAAAAAGAAGAAGAAUUAGAUAAAUCCAGAUGGUCUCCCUGGCUUUCAGAAUCUUCCUCCUCCUAAGAAGAGUGCAGUACAAAAUGAGUUUAAAUAGACCAUCUGCAGAGUGCUGCACAUUUCAGUCCGUGAGAGUUCCCAGGCAACUCCUCUGGGGGAAACAGAACUAUAUGUAAAGACUCCAUUUUAGAUUGUGACUUAAAACUGCCCCUGUCAUCAAAUCAAAACAGAUACAUAACUAAAAUGUUAUGGGAAACAAAUACAGUAUCAUGCAAUAUCAAUACUAUAAGGCAAGGGUGCCAACAGAUACCAUGAAAUCAGCACAUAUCCUUCUUUUUUUCAAGACGGUAGGACCGAAGAUCAAACUAACAUCUUAGCGCCAACAGAAAAAUGCAACCGAGCAUUUCUACAAUGUUUCCUUCCCAUUACAAGUAACUUCCAGAGGUAAACGAAGCUAUCUAAUCUCCAUCUGGUUCUCUUCCCCUGAGAGGCUUCUGAUGCUUCUUUCCCAGUGUGGUUCUCUAGCUUUUCCAUUCUUUUAUUAUAUCUCAAAAGCUGAAUUCAGCUGGAGGGCAGGGCUGCUAUUCAGAGGGACCUCUGUGAUCUACAGUAACGAGCUGACACAAACCUCCCGGACCCCAAGAAAAGCAAGUGCAAGCUCUUGUAUCUGAAAGGAAUUGCCCAUCGCAACUAUGUACUCUGGAGGAUAUUCAUAAGCUCUCUGCUGAAAAGAAACUGGAGUUCUGAGUGGACAAGCAGCGUGUCACAGUGAAGAAAGCCAGUGGCAUCCUGGACUAUAUUAGCAAGAGGUCCAGGGGCCAGCAGAGCUACGGAAGUGAUCCUUCACCUCUAUCUGGCACUUGUGAGACUGCAUCUGUGAACUGUAUCCAGGAGUCAGUUCAAGAGGUCUCCAGGAUGGCUGAAGAACAUGAUGCAUAUGAUAGGGCUGAGAGAGGUGGACAUCUUCAGCUUGGAUGAGAGAAGGCAGAGGGGAGAUCUUGUUGCUGCCUGAUAACUACGUGCCCACAGGACAGGACUGGAAGAUGGAGCUGGCCUGUUCUCAGAGGUGCACAGUGAUAGCAACAGACACAAGUUGCAACAAGGAAAAUUCCAUAUCCAGAUAGAAGAGGAAAAAAUAGAAAAGAAUCUCUAAUCUUUGCAGUUUGUCUUCAGGAGAGCCUCAGAUACAAGAACAAACUUGAGAUGAGACUAUGAUGUUAAAAUCUGAUACCUGUGAAGACGUUGCUGGGAAGCUAAGAACAAAAAGGCUGAACUUCAAAUUGGCCUUCCCUCACCUCCAGAUGAUGAGGAGCCCAUCCUUCUUCCAGCUAAUAUUAAAAGCAUAGUUCAGUAUACUAGUUUGAUUGGCUAGAACUGUGAAACACCCAGACAGAUAGACUAGAAACAAAUCCACAUUAUAAGCAGAAAAAAAUCUACUUUAUAAGCAGCCCCCCUCCAUAUUUUUUUUUCUUUUAAUCCUAUCUAUUGCAAGUUGGGAUUCACGCUUUCUGGUGCAUCUUCCCAUCGUGAAACCUGUGCUCAUUUAGGGACAGGACUGUCCUUUGUUAGAUGUCUGCAAAAUGCUCACUGCAGAGACUUCCCUCAGGACUUUCAAAAUCCUUCUCAUACCCUUUCAUAUAGUAUCUAAUAAUAAGCAAGAGUCAAGACCACAAUUAUUCAGCAAAUUCCAUUGCUAUGGAAUCACGAUAUGCACAAGACCCUGAUAAUAUCUCUGUAUUUUGUACAUAACUUUGUUCCUAGACAACCGCACAUAGGGUCAAGUGCUUUGGGAGUUUAGAUCAUUUUGUUUCCUAUGCAUUAUCUAAGUGAGGAAUUGCAAGCAGGCACAGAGUGCCUCCUACAUUAUCAGGAAGCAUCUGGUAAUUUGACCUACAGUUGCAGAUGAAAUUCUCUCCUUUGAGAUUCAGAUGUAAAAGUCCUGCUUGUUCACAAUAUCUAAAACCUUAUUAUUAGGUCUACUCUUUACCAUCUUUCAAGAUGCUACUGAGCUUUUCCUUUUACAUUUUUUACACAUCUGUGUAAUCUCCACUCUUUCAAACCUAUUUAGCUGUACGGAUAAUUGCUCUGAAAGCAAUUAAUGAAAGUCACCUUUAUUUUGCACCAGACUUAAUAGUGGCCACAAAGAAGGACUCAUGUUACAGCAUAACACUGACUGACUUCCAGUUAAUCAUGAAAGCUCUCCUGAAGUUGCUGGUAAUACAUUCGAUUUCACAAACUAUUUCUUUGUCUUCUCUUAUUUUUUUGCCUAGAAAGCCCAUAACAGCAUUAACAUGUAGCAUCAUUGCUAUAGCUAAAAUAGCCUAAGGCUGUAAUCAGGGCAAGGAGGUCAUCACUUUCUGAUACAGGCCGCAAAACACAGUCUUGUUUGCAUAUUACAAAGCUUUUCUACAUAAGAAACUCUGUUGAAAGAUACAACCGUCUAAAAACUAGUGAAGGUGGCCCCAAAGCAAUGGUUUGCUCUAGAACCAGUCAAUAACAUUCUUUUACCUGUUUUUCUAAGUAUUUCUACAGCCUGGUCACAAGGCACUCCUGUCUUCCAAUGCAUGAGCACUGGGCUUAUUCAAACAUGCCCACUUCUUGGUCCUCUUGCUGUAUUAACUUAUUUUCAUAUCCUGUUCUCUGAAAGCAGGCACUGUGUUGCCUAUCUGACCAUCCUCUUCUCAAAACCCACUACAAUAGAAAUAUUAAUGAUUACUUUCCCUGGGCUAACCAAAAUCCUGGCAAAAGCACUCAGAACUUUUUGUGUCAGAAAAUUCUCUGGAGUACCCCUGGGUAAGGUUUUGAGGAGCCCAGCAUUUGGCACGUUCCUGGAAAAGAAAUGAGCAGUUUUGCAUUUGAUUUCCCAACAUCUCAUGAGUUAUUCCAAUGCAUCUAGCUUGUCAUUUCAUCAAUUCAAAUAUUCACCUUUAAGUUCCUAGAAAUUAUUUGUUUGGGAGAAAGCAGGACGUGCUCUGUGUCUAACAGGAACAGGCUGCCUUGUGGAACGUGCAUCGCUGUGAGUAAGAACCCUGGAACGAGAAGCUGAAUCUUUCCUCAAAAGCCUGAUGGAUUGCUUUCCUUUUGUUUUGGCUCAGGGAGGAUUCUGACACCAUUUGUUCAGCCCUCCACACAAUUGCUGAGCCCUGCAUUUCUGAGGAAAAAAAAAAAAUAUCCUGCAAUACAGAAAAAUAUGUCCCCUCACUUCGGAGGAGGCAGUAAUGGGACCAGCAGGUCGUAUAAAGAAAUACUGCAUUAUAAAAUGGUUGCUGCUCACAAUAUUUGAACCUGUAACUUGGAGAAUAUUAUUUCCUGUUCUUCCGUGAAAUUUGCAAAAGAAACACUCCCAGGACUGUAGGAUCAGGACCAGAUAAUUAGCACGUAAGCGUUUGGGAAAGUAUCAGUAAAAUGUUUUUCUCAAUGAACCCAUGACUUAAAUAGUCAGCAUAAAGGAGACGUCUGCAGCAUUUGCUCCCAACAGUCUCUUUCCUUACAGAACAGUAGUCUUCAUAGAAACUUAUCAGUUCACAGACCACUUUUAGAUAGGAUUGAUCUUCCCAGUGCUUUGUAGGCUGAGAUUGCAAUCUCGCUGAAAAAUAGUCAGGAAGCCACAGAAACAAUAAAAUCUUUGGAAGGAAAGCGAUAACCCAGAGCGGAUGGCAAGCUGAGUUAGUUCCUUGUGUCUGCUCCCCCUAAUUCAGGAGUUGACUCAAAUAUUUCUCCUGUUUCACAACUUGACUUCUCCUCCACUGCUGGCCAGCAGCCAGCAUUCCUGUCAGGCACAAGCAGUGGGUCAGAGCCCUUCCAUGGACAAAAAAGGUGCUGUGAAGAUAAAAUCUUAAGUGCUUUCUGGCCAAGAUCAGGCUGCUGCCAUCAUUUACUCAUUCCUUGUCUUUCAUGCCGUUGCAGCUGGGUUCGUACAUCUGAAAGAUGGGAGAUAGUAAUGUGUGAAGACUAAAUGAACUAUUCUAUACUGAAAACAAUAGGGAAGAAGCUCUGGGAGCAGAUACAGCAAAACUGACUGUGGAAAAACUACCUUAUGCAAAAGUGUAUGGAAUUCUCACGAUCCAAACCAUUUCAAUUUUUACAGCAGAUUUUUUUUCCUAAGCACUAGGAAGUGUUGCAAACAUUUUAUUCGCACUACUGCCACUGGAAGUAAGAAAGUAGUAUUAUUCUAAUAUUAUAUAUUGCAAUAUUGAGAAAGAGACUGUCAAGCUACAGAAGAACAGUGAGUUAGGACUGGGUACUCAGAAUAUCAAGGAAUCAGCUCUUGCCCACAGCUUAAAGUUACAUUUCCACUGAACUAGGACAUGCAGGACCUCAAAUAGACUCCAGGAACUGACCACCUCUGUAAAAACACACAAACAGAGUGAUCCCUGCCUGAUCGAUAGGGAAUUGAAGUUCAAAUAUAUUUUGUCACACAGGAAGUUUAUGGAAAAGGCAGGAACUGAACCAGAUGUUCGAAGGUCUGGCCCAGUGCCUUAAGCAUAAAAUAAUGCUUUUACCUCAUAAAAGUGCUCUAGACUAAAACCGAUUUCUCUCACCUUUUACAAUCUGUUUUAGUAAAGAGAAUAGAGAGAUAUCUAGAAGUAUGCUAUUAACCCAAAGACUACUCCGUGAUAAGAGAACAUCCUUUGAUGACUGUGGAAUGUUAUAAAGCUUUUACUUAAAACAUUUAACAAAAAAGAGAGAGAGAGAGAAAAGAAAGAAGUGUCUGUUUUGUGGAGACAAUUUCCAGACUUGGAUCUGCUUUCCUCUUUUCCCUCUCUAAACUUGUUUUUUUUUAAUAUACAUUUUUAACAAAAUUACUCAGGAUUGACCAACAGGGAUAGUACUGAAUAAGCUGGACAACAUAAGUCCUUUUUUAUCCACCAUUAAUUUUUUGUGAACACUUGGUAGGGAGAAUGCACGGCUCCAUUAUCUGCACAUCCCAAACUUCACAGGGAAGAUAUCCGUUUCAAAAACAUUUUCCCUUUACGGCAUGUAAAUAAAUCUGACCAGAGCUGCUGGGCAGAGAAAAACUCUUGUGCUGUCAUCUCUCUAUCCCUCUGGAUGCAACCUGGCCUUGAUAAUCAGCCUUGGCUCCUGUGGGAACAGAAAUGUGCUGACUAAAUGACUGUUCCUGUUAUCUGGGUCCCCUACUGUGCUGUGAGUUCUUUGCCUUAAUUUCAUUAACUGCCUUAAAGUUCAGUCGUGUGCAAAAUGUCUUUUUUUCUUCUUAUUACUCUUUUUUUCCUAUCAAAAUCUGCAUUAAGGUAAAUGCUAUUGCUUAAUGGCCAAAUCAGCGGGGUGAAGCAAACAAAGAGCUGCACUGCAGGUUCGUAUGUGAGUGAAUGCCAAUUCAAAUCUACUUAACUUCUGUAAAUUGAUUUGAAGGCAGCACCAGAUGUGCCACUAGAUUUCCAUUUAUUCCUCAUAGAAAGUCAAUGAAAUGCAUGUCAUCUGGAAAUUGUCCCAGGGAAGCAGAUGCAAUAUGUUUAUUGAGUCUUUGACUGAAGACCAAUUCUUGAAGUUUCAGAUUGGUGUUCAGGGUGCAAAGUGCCUCUCAGGAGACUUCCAGUAUAGUGGUAGGCCACAAUGCAAGUAGAAUCUGCUUUGUGUAAUAAAACAGAGAUUGAAAAGGUCUUCUGAGUAAUUCUGUGGAUGGAAAACUAAGAUCAAAUCAGAUAUUUAUACCAUAAUAUCCUUCUCUACCUAACUCAGAUGAGAGUACUUUGCUUCAGUGAUCAUCGUGGUAAUUCAGUUCAAUUUUCUUUUCUAUUCAAGAGUUCAUUUCCUGUGGCCAUUUUCUAAGAUCUCAGUAUUUACAGGAAACCAAACCCACUAACACAUCCCAGUUGGAGGGGGUUUCCACUGCUCAGAGAAAGGUACUGAGAGGUACAAAAGUUCAAACGUAGUCAGCUGCAGAUGAGCUCACCCUCACCAGUUCUCUGCAGCUGAUUAUAAUAAAAACAUCACCUCCCAUGUGACCAGCUCUCACCAUUGGAAAGCAAUAAUGUCAUCUCCAGUGGGAUCCUGGAUGAUAUACAACUAGUAUUAAAACACAGAUAUUUCUCCAGAUUUCCCCGCAGCCUGUAAUUUCCUUUAGUGGAAAGGACUGGCUGAUAGAGCACAGUUUAGAGAGGAUUAAGGGAUAAAUACUCUAUCAAUAUUAAAGAGCAAAAAGAAAAGAUGAUCACCUCAGUAACACAGAUUGCAGCUUGGCAGUCGGGGUAAACACAUGGGACUGCUUUGACAGUAAGAGUUGAUUUUUCUGUUUGUUUUGUUAUAUUUUGUAAAGGGAAGUAUACAGCGUUGAAUAAAAUCAGUUGCUAUUCGCAUUUACUCCUUCAAGCUAAAAGUGUUCUUUCAGGUUUGAUCAAAUAGUCCAUGGAAAGAUUAGCUUCAUGGGGCCUUUGAGCAAGUCAGUAAAGCAUUUAGACAGAAAAAGUGUAAUACAAGAAAUUUGUUUUUCCAUGCAAGACUGCUGUUUCCAAAAAAUAUCACAGACUUCUAAAUUUUGCUGUGCCUGAUGGCCUCAAGAAAGAGCAGAGACAUUCCUAUGAAAAGAAUAAAGGGGAGAAUACUUGCUGAGUAACUGUCUUUACUCAUUAAAGACGGGCAAUUACUUGCCUAAUAUUUAAUUUGCAGCAUUCUUUUCUUCCUUUCUGGAGAAAAAGGACCGUUGUAUUACGCAUGCCUGUCGUGAAAAAGGAGAUUACUCACAAACAAAGGAAUUCAGAUAUCCUGAGGAGCAUCAGAUAAGCAUUACAAUAUGCCCCAGAGUUUGCUUGAGACAACAUAGCUAUGGGGAGGCUAUAUAAUUUCUAGACACUCCUCUCAGCUAGUUUCCAUUACUGAGCAGGGAGGUGUGUAGUAAAAAAAAUGCAAUGUCGCUCCUCAUGGUUUUAGGAACUUAUCUCCCAUCUCUCUGUGUAGACAAUAUUUACGUGAACCCAAGGAAAGAAAUAUCCACCCAACCAAAGUGUCUCUGGAAAGACAGAAUGCAAUAAAUACUGUCGGUAAAUAUUCUUACUGGGACGUAUUCUUUUUCUACAGGGAAAACAGAUCUUCAAAAUAAAAGACACUGUUAUUUUGACAGAAUAAAUGGAACUGCUAGCAUUGCAGACUGACUAAUCAGUGCUUUGGAAAUUGCUGAAUAAGUAUGGCUUUAUCUUCACAAAAGCCAAACAGACCUAAGAAUGUGUAUUAACUGCUGACAGUUUCAAUAACUUAUCUGAAACCAUUUAUAGCUCUUCCCAGUCUUCAUUAUUUCUCUGAAGAGAGAUUGCUGGACUAAGUGGGCCUGAGAAGAUGCAUAAUUUGUAGUGUACCAUCUGUCUUCUUUUCUUAGGGCUACUUUCAAGAGGCUUCAGAAAGCGCAAAAUGGGCCUACACUUGAUAAAGCCCAAAAUGUUGGGUGGGGAGGGUCAUUUGAAAAUCAAAAGUCCUCAAGGACUUUUAGGUAGGUAUGUUAGUGCUGUAAUGCUGAGGCAACACUACCAGAGUGCUUUAAUGAUGCAGUGAUGCACAGGAUUCUGACAAUUAGUCAUUAUUGGUAACAGCCUGAAAGACGAGUCAGAGAAACCAAGGUUUGUCAGCCACAGGGUCACAGAACUGCAGGGGUUGGAACAGACCUCUAGAGAUCAUCAAGUCCAACUGCCCUGUUAAAGUAGGUUCCUUACAGCAGGUCACCCAGGUAGUUAUCAAGGCAGGUUUUGAAUAUCUCCAGAAAAGGAGACUCCACAACCUUUCUGGGCAGUUCUUGUUGAACCUCAUCAGGUUCCUCCCUGCCCAGUCUGCUCUCCAGUCUGUCCAGGUCUUGAAUGGCAGCACAGCCUUCUGGUGUGUCAGCCACUCCUCCCAGCUUUGUACCAUCAGCAAACUUGCUGAGGGUGGAUUCUAUCCCUUCAUCCAGGUCAUUAAUGAAGAUGCUGAACAAGACCAGACCCAACACCAACCUCUGGGAAACACCACUAGUUACAGACACUUCUCAGUCCACCCCAUUAUCCACUCUUCCAGGCUCUUCUCGGUGGUGUGUAGAGAUAGGAUAAUGAGUAAUGGCCUAAAACUUGAACAUAGGAAGUUCCGUACUAACGUGCAGAACUUCUUUAUGAUAAGGGUGAUGGAGUGCUGGAACAGGUUGCCUAGAGAGAAUGUGGAGUCUCCGUCUAUGGAAAUAUUCAAGGCCUGUCUGGAUGCCUGCCUAUGUGACCUAUUGUAGGGUACCUGCUUUAGCAGGGGGGUUUGACUCAAUGAUCUCUUGAGGUCCGUUCCAACCCCUACGAUUCUGUGAUUCUGUGAAACCUUGUUUAUUUGUACACAAGGUGACCAACUCACUAAACUAUGUAUUCUGCGGUAAAUAGUCAUGAAUUUAGAUUUUAUAUAAUUCCUAAUUUAUUCUCUGGCACUUUUUAGAAGAAAAAUAGCCAGCAUGUAUGUACACAAACAAUUUGGUAUGGUUUCCAAAAAGGUUUGGCUUUGGUCUAACUUACGCUGCCUGAAAACCCCACCUGUCAUGAAUUAUGUUUGUUCUUUCCUGCUUAUGAAAGAGGUACGUAGGCUGAGGAAGAAGAAAGCUAACAAAAACUGUGUGGAGGUACGGUGAUGUAGAUUGGAGCGUAGAAGUUAAAAUGACAUACUUCUUAGCAAAAAAAAAUUACUAGGAAGAGUUUCUCAUUUGACACACUUCUCUUUUAUGUUCUUAUGUAUGGCUAUCUGCUAAAGCAGCAGUGCUAAAGCUUCUAAACCAGGAAAGCUAUCCCAUCCAUAACUAGGUGUUGACUUGGCUAGGUGUUGACUACAGUGCUGAAUUUCUGGGUAUGAAAAACUGGGAGUAGACUUUUUCAGACAGCAAGAAUGAUUUGACAAUCAUUCCAUUAAAGCAGUCCAACUCGGAAAAGAUUUUGUCACUCAUUCCUCUAAAAAAGUCCCCAGACUUAACCAAAUAGGAUUCAUGCAAGAUAGUACUACCCAGGUUAUAUAAAAAGGAAAACUUAAAUAAUUUUGUGCAUCAUUUUUUCUGCAGAUUCUUAGCUCUUGGUUUGCACUGAGUUAGCAAGUGUCAGAGUACAGCAAAGGCCAGCUGUUCCCUAAGGGUAAGGGAGCUUUUGAGGGGCCAAGCAUGAAAAGAAGGACAGUAGGGCAGAGGCCCUAUUACCGGACAGAAUCCAGACCCAUGGUAGUCAAGCAAGAAGAGCAGAGCCAGACUGGAGAUAGCAGUCAGGGUCAGCCCAGAAUCCACAUCAUACAUGGUAAUGCAGCACAUCUGAGGAACACAAGUCAGAAUCAGUGCAAAAGCUGAAAUAAUGAGGUGUACAGAGCAAUUUACAAAGACUGCAGUAAGCAAGCUCUGCUGGAGAAUCCUUAGAUAGAAAGGAAGCACUAGUAACCUCCUGUGAUUAUCCUCUAUGAACGUAACACAGAAUCUGCAGCACAUCGCCUUUACACUAUUACCUCUCCCUGCCUGCACAGGUCAUGUUUGUUUAAGGCAAGAUAAAAUAUCUUCUAGGACAAGGGCCUCACUGCUUCCUUUCUUCAAUUCUGAUCUUGGUCAGCCCAUGGAAAAGCAACAUUAAAGUAAAAAGCACACUGCAGGCAACCCACCAUGUCCAUCUGCAUAUCAGUUUCACAUUCAAUUUCUGUACUGCUAAUGCCUUUGAGAAAUGUUAGAAGUACCCUGGAAGGAAGAAAACAGGCAAAGCAGCAGCUUCAUAAAUAGGGUGAUCAUUAGAGAGUUCUGCUAGCAAUAAGACGUAUGCUUAAAUUUUAUUUCAGUGAAAAACAUUCGUAAUCAGACAAGGCAUUCCGCUUGACAAAGGUAGGGAGGAAUCUCCCGUUGGAUUUAGCUGUUGGGUCGAGAAAGGAGGAAAAAAAUAGGAGCAACUUCUGCAAUUGAAUCAAUGGGUAGGACAGUGCUGCUCUCUACUGGUGAGGAACACACAUUGCUCUAGCAGUACACUCGUGCCUGGGCAUACAUGGAGGCAAUGCUUGAAAAGGUAUGUGAGCUAUUUUAACAACUUUAAAUAAAAGCUGUAAUACCUAUACAAAUUUAUAUCUUGUCACUGUUAAAAUUAAGCACUUUUUAAACUGAGGGUCUAAAGGCUUAGUUCCUUCUUCUGACGUUGUUGCUUCAAAGUAAAUCCAGCAGUUUAAUGCAAACGUGGUGCCAUUGUUCUAUGGUCAAAAAGAAAUAUUUCCAACUGAUAUUUUCUUCUUUCUUACCUUCUUUUUUAUAGGAAAAAAAUCAUGGAUUUUCACUGAAAUGGGAAUUUGAACUGUCUAAAUAAUAGCUUCAAAUUUAGAGGGCGUUUGAGAAUCAGUUCCAAGGGUUUACCCUAGGAGUUAAAAAAAUACUAUCUGCUCGGAAAACAAGUAAACACAAAAGUGGUGCUCUAUUGAUAGAAUAACACGGGUACUUUCACAUAUUUGAAGAUGGGUAUUCACAAAGAACUCAUAGUUUCAGAUCCUAGAGGUUCAGUCUCACUGAAGCUGAAGAUAAGAAGUUAAACACAAUACCCAGAAUUUAAUCGUAGAUAAAAUACUAACUGAGUUUGUGACACACAGACACAAGGCUGAAUGAAAUGGUUGGCAAUGGUUUGGAUGUGGUAACUUUUGCAGGCUGGAUCAGAGAGGAUUCUUGGAAAGACUCUCUCAGGAUUCUCCCCGUGUACUUCUCCAUCUGGAUGAUAAUGAGACUCCAGAAUGGAUUUUGACUGCCAAGAGAGCAUGGCACUCUCCCUUACUGCAGGAGAGAUUCCAUUUUGACUGGAGGUGCUCAUGGUUUUAUCAUCUGGUUCUCUUUAGGCAUACUCAGACCUUAACACACCAACUUGCCUCAUCACACCCACAUGAUACAUGCCUAUGACAGCUGUCCUAAGCAUCAUCAGCAGCAUUCCCUGUGGCCUUUUCUCACAGUACUUUCACUUAGAAGUCUCACUACAAAACACUGUCCACCUUAAGUAAAACAGAACAACAAAGCACUGAAAUGUCUAGUCAAGCAAACAGCCCUUCCUUGUGUAAAAUCACUGAACGUGGCAAAAUAUUAAGAUACACCAAUUUGCUCAUUUUCUUUUGUUCUAUGUCUCUCCUUUGCCUGGGGGACUGUUAGUUACAGACACGGUUCGCAUGUGGUCUAUAGGUACUCUCGUCUUGCAAAUUGUUAUCAGUGUGCAGGUUAUUCUGAAAUAAUCGAGCCACAUCUUGAAGUCUUCCCCUUCUCUCAGGGCUGGUGUAGGCAGAUUCUGUUCCAGCAGGCAGCAGGCAACCUGUUGGACAGUACUUAUUUGAGCAGGACAGUUGCAUCAGUCUUCCAGGAAAGGCUGACACUGCUUUUUCCACAGGCAUGGAUUGUCUUUGUGUGGUCCUUCCCCUCACUCCACUCCAGUAACUGAAUGAACAGAGGAGCACCAAUCCUAAUGAUGUUUGCUGAGCCCAGCACGGUCACCCAGCUAAGGGCCUCUGUGCAGGAAGCUGUGUUACUUGCCAGCCUCAGGAAGGAUUCACGGCGAUUAUGAGUGAAUCUCAGCCUCUUCUCUGGUAGUCAUGGCAGUGUACUCAGGCUGAUGAGAAACUGUAAGACUCCAAGAAAGAGUUGCCCCACCAAGACACCGUUACUUGUUCCAUCUUCAACACAAGCCUUUACAGAACUGAGAUGAAGACUGACAUAAGAUUAAUUACUUUCAACUCAGAUUUGGAGAAAUGUUAUGGUACAAGUCCUGUUCAGCUGGGCUGGGGAUUGGAGCUGGCAAAAGACAUUGUACUUACAUCUGGUUAUUUUUGGAGAGAGGUAGGUGUUAACAGAGGUCUGAUGAAGGAAAGUGAUAAUAUUUUAAUGAUACCUUUAUGGAUUAUUUAUGAGACAGAAUAAAAUUAUUUGCUGUAAAUAAUAGAAAGCAGACAAGAAAUUGCAGUUUUGAACUGCUUUUGAGAAUGGUAAAUUGAAACCAAAUACUAAAUAAAAUAAUGAUAGUUGUGUUAUAAUAAAUGCUUUGAUUAGCUCUCAUUUUUUAUUUUAUUUCCACUGUCAUGUUUCCCAGAAUGACUUUUUCUCCCCUACUUUUCAGUUUGACUACCUAGGCUAAAACUUCUGCUCAUAGUGCUGUAUGUCUUUGCCAUAUCUAGUUUAACUUUAUGCAUGCAGGAAGAUAGAAAUACAAGAGUUAAAGAGAAAAGUAGUCAUCCAUCGUAUUAGUGAAAAAGUAAAGAUUUCAGCUAUUUUCUGUCUUCCCACAGCACAAUACAGGGUAGCACAUGAAGCAUGUUAAACAGGACACCGCAUAAGGUUCCACCAUUCACCCCUGUUGCUUUCCUUGUUUUGCAAAUAAAUGCAAAGUUU